rnacentral:rRNA from 1 species
CCUACGGGUGGCAGCAGUGAGGAAUAUUGGUCAAUGGACGAGAGUCUGAACCAGCCAAGUAGCGUGAAGGAUGACUGCCCUAUGGGUUGUAAACUUCUUUUAUCUGGGAAUAAAAUGUUCCACGUGUGGGCUUUUGUGUGUACCUUAUGAAUAAGGAUCGGCUAACUCCGUGCCAGCAGCCGCGGUAAUACGGAGGAUCCGAGCGUUAUCCGGAUUUAUUGGGUUUAAAGGGUGCGUAGGGGGAUUGUUAAGUCAGUUGUGAAAGUUCGCGGCUCAACCGUAAAAGUGCAGUUGAAACUGGCAGUCGUGAGAACGGGAGAGGUGGGCGGAAUGCGUGGUGUAGCGGUGAAAUGCAUAGAUAUCACGAAGAACUCCGAUUGCGAAGGCAGCUCACUGGACUGCAACUGACGCUGAGGCUCGAAAGUGUGGGUAUCGAACAGGAUUAGAUACCCCUGUAGUC